AGGAAGCCCCGGCUAACUACGUGCCAGCAGCCGCGGUAAUACGUAGGGGGCGAGCGUCACUCGGAAUUACUGGGCGUAAAGGGUGUGUAGGUGGCUGAAUAAGUCAAAGAUGAAAUCCCGAGGCUCAACUUCGGAAUUGUCUUUGAUACUGUUCAGCUUGAGGUUAGUUGAGGAGAGCGGAAUUCCCGGUGGAGCGGUGAAAUGCGUAGAUAUCGGGAGGAACACCUGAGGCGUAGGCGGUUCUCUAAACUAAUCCUGACACUGAGACACGAAAGCUAGGGGAGCAAACGGGAUUAGAUACCCCGGUAGUCCUAGCCGUAAACGAUGGACGCUAGAUGUUCCUGCGUUUAUGCGGGGGUGUCGAAGCUAACGCG
rnacentral:rRNA from 1 species